GACAGAGGGUGCAAACGUUGUUCGGAAUUACUGGGCGCAAAGCGUGUGUAGGCGGUCCACUAAGUCGGGUGUGAAAGCCCUGGGCUCAACCCAGGAAGUGCACUCGAAACUGGCGGGCUAGAGUAUCGGAGAGGUUGGUGGAAUUCUCGGUGUAGAGGUGAAAUUCGUAGAUAUCGAGAGGAACACCGGUGGCGAAGGCGGCCAACUGGACGAAUACUGACGCUGAGACACGAAAGCGUGGGGAGCAAACAGG
rnacentral:rRNA from 1 species